GGGAGGGAGCUGUCGAAGGUGGGACUGGCGAUUGGGACGAAGUCGUAACAAGGUAGCCGUACCGGAAGGUGCGGCUGGAUCACCUCCUUUCUAAGGAGCA
rnacentral:rRNA from 2 species